rnacentral:misc_RNA from 1 species
AAAGUGCUCAAGGGGUAGCGAGGGCACUGCCUACCAACGGCAUCGACCUCUUUCGUUCACGUUGUCUGUCGUUCGGCUCCGCGCGCGUGGGCAUCGCCAUAAACUUCGCGGUGCAUCGAUCCACCCCCUCCUUUCUCUCUCUUACCGACACACCCCUCGUGUGUCUUUCGAUUAUUUCCUAACAUGUCUCGACUGCACUUCAAGGGCGGGGCCUGGACGAACGCCGAGGAUGAGGUGAUGAAGGCAGCGCUGGCGCAGUACGGCCUCCGGGAUUGGGAGCGGGUUGCCUCGAUGCUGACCAAGAAGACCGCCAUGCAGUGCCGCGAGCGGUGGGAAAACUACCUGGACCCGCGGCUGAACAUUCACGAGGCCUGGAGCCUCGAGGAGGAGGAAAAGCUGGUCGAGCUCCAGGCGCUCUUCCCGCACAAAUGGCGUCUCAUUUCGGAGCAGCUGACGCGGCGCACGCCGAACCACUACAUCCGACCAGCGUGGCUGUGCGAGCAGCGCUACCUGGAACUCAAGGAUGAACAAGAGUACUACCUGAAGCAGCAGCAGCAGCAGCUCAAAGACGCGCCAGGCGGCGCCGCCGGUGAGAAGCAGAGCUUAGAGUCCUUCAUGGCGGAGCGGCGGCGACGGCGCAUCGCGCGCAAGACGCAUGAGGAGCGCGCCUCCAGGGCCGACACCAUCAGCGGCGAGCGCUGCGAGAGAGAGAUGAUCGACAUGGCCACUAGCCGCCUAGCGAACCAGGACCAGAAGAAAGGGCUCCGCAAAGAGCGCCAGCAGCAGCUCGCAGAGGCUGCCUUUCUCGCCAAACUGGAGAGCAAUCGCGAGGGCAUCGAGUCCGGCACUCUAUCACUGCGCCAAACGCGCAAGAUGAAGAAGGCCUUGGAAGAGGACCGGCAGAAGCCCGGUCUGGUUGACGAGAUUGAAGAGGCCGACGAGGAGGACUACGCGAGCGGCGAGGCGCGCGACUCUGGUGAGGACGAUGAUAACGAUGAGCAAUUUGAGGCGAUUGACAUGUACGAGGACCAGAAACAGGCUGGUCUCGUGAAGAAGCAGCGGGUUCUCAUGAAGGACCUAACGGAGCAGCAGCGCCACAUCCAACAGCGGCAGAUGAGCAGCGCCGCCGGCGCAGGCGGAGACGAGGAGGCGACAGCGUCCUCCAUCGGUAGCAGCCGCGCUCGUGCGGCACUCACAGGAGUGAACCAAGAUCUGCUGAGGCAACUCACAUCUGCGCCGACGUCGGCGUCACCGUCGCUGCUGGAGAGCAACGCGUUCGGCACUCGUGCCAUCACCGCAGCUGGCAAGCCCGUCACCGGCGCCAACUCGAUCGCUGCGGCUGCGGCAGCGGAGGCCAAAGAGGAGCUCAAGAGCACCCUGGACAACCUCUUUGCCACACUGCCCUCAGCUGCCCGGGCGGCACCCGGGCCCACCUUGACGAGCUUCAGCGCAGACAUGCCGCCGCCGCUUCCCCUGCCACCACUGAAGCGCCCUCGCGAAGCGUUGAAGCCGGUGUCGGUGACUGGAGAGGAGGACAGGGACGCCAGCUACCCGAGAGAAGUUGCUCAGCAGCGAGCACCUGAGCCGCCUUCUCGUCCUGCGGGCAGCAGCAGCAGCGCCGAAGCAAGGCGCAGCGACAACGGUGUUCCGGCCCACCUCUUCGGUGCGCUGGACAUCCCCGCACCUCGCAAGAUGCCGAAGACAGACGCCGCGGCAACGGCAGCAGUCUACAGCAACAGCGGGGCCUCCCGAAGCGACGAGGCCCGUGCACCCAUCCAUACGAAUGCGGGCCCCUCAGACGCCGUUGCCAACAGCACCAGCGCUGCCGACGCGCAGUACGGUAUCACCUUCACAGAAAGUGAGGCAGAGAUGUACAUGCUAGAUGCACGUCGGUGGGUCGCUGUGGAGUGCGAACGAGCAACGGCCGCUGCAGAAACAAGCAAGGCGCCCGAGGAUGAACAGCCCACGCCGGCGGAGAUCCACGCUGCUCAAAGCCUUAUAGAGCAGGAGCUGUGCUCGACCGAUCGCACAGCCACGGAUGGUGCCAGCAUGGCCAACGGAGGCGGCACGAAAGGGGCAACGCAGCUGCAGCACUCCUCAUCGAUGGCAGCGGCUGUGCGUGCUUACACGUCAGUCGGCGGCCUUCAGGCGUACGGUUCUCACGUUAACGUGCAGCAGGCCUUGCACCAGCUGAGUCAAAGAGUUGCCGCGCAAGUGCAGGAGGCCAACGCGAUCCUGCAGCCGCUCCGACAGGAGUGGGAACAAGUGAUGUCGACGGCAAUGCUCAGCCCGCAGGACAGGCACGUCCUUUACGGGUACGUUCGCGAUGACGGGCAGUUGAAGGGCUCGCCGGCCGUGGGUAACAGCGCAGAGGAUGACGAGGGGGAAGGACUGCCCCCACCCUCCGUCGCCGCCUAUGUGUGCGAGCGCAUCAUCAGUCAGCUGCAGCGUGCGCGGCUGGCGUCGCGUUUCACCAAGGAACUGCGGGACCGCGAGGUCUUGAAGAUGCGCCGCGACUUGGAUGAGGCCGAGCACGACCUGCAGCAGCUGCAGUCUCGCGAACGUACGCUGCAGGACAUGUAUCGUCACCAGCGUGCGCAACAGCUGUGAUGGGCCUGGGCAGGCGCGGGCCUCGACAAGGAAAAGGGGGCCUAACAGGCCUGGUGCUUUCCUUUGCCAUCUUCCUUCUGUUUCUAUGUGUGUGUGUGUGUGUGUGUGUGUGUGUGUGUGUGUGCAUGUCGUCGCCUCCGCU